rnacentral:lncRNA from 1 species
CCUUUCUUUUGCAAUUGGUCAAUGCUCAGAAGAUUAGUCUUCAAUUCUGGAACAAAAAGAACAUCAACAAUUGUCUGGAUGAAAUCUCUGUUGGUUUGAAUUAGAACCUGUCGUUUUCCCAUGGCUGCAACUUUGAAGUUGUUCUCGAACUUUACGCUAUCUCGAAAAGAUUUGUCCAAGGCAAAGAAAACUGAUUUAUCUCCACUCAUAUGAUUGCUACACCC